ensembl:lncRNA
AGGACGGUGUGUGUGUGCGCAGACGAGCUGUGUUUGACUCCACUGAGCCCAAAGGGUUUCGGAGGGUGGAGUGACUCAUAUCUCACCCUUGGGCUCUGACUCUCAAAAUGCAUUUAUUCCGCUUUUCCCUUCUAACCUUUUUUUUUUCUCCAGUGUUCGUUUUUAUAUCUCAUCAGCAAACUUCACUGCGAUCUGAACUCGGGAGCGAUUUAAAAUCAUCUUUCCACAUCAUGUUGAGUGUAAGAAGAGGGAGGGGGAGUGGGGAUGACGAAAAGCGAGACAGACAGGCAGACAGACGAGCAACGGCGAGGGCAGAGAAUGGAGCAAUUGCUAAAGGCUCAUUCAUUCUGACAGUGUUCAUGGCACCAGUCAGAGCGUCCCAAAAGACAGAAGGAGGAUGGACCAGACCUCUGACACACAGACAGCCUGUCCUCGCUGACCGGCUUCACCUCAUCUGAACAGGCGGUCGCACUGGGAGACUUAUCCGGGUUCUGAGGAGAGGGUUGAUACGACAGCCACAUAGUUUUACAAUUUGCAUUCGAGCAGCCUGAGCAUUUUCAUAACCUUUUCAUGUCAUUUGCCUAUAUUUUGUUUUUCUGAUGACUUUCCGUCUGAAUUCAAUCGCCAAACCACAACAACAGCCGCCUCAAGGCGUUUUAUAUUGUAAGGUAGACCCUACAAUAAUACAUACAGGAAGAAACCUCUGGCAGAACCAGACUCAGGGAGGGGCGGGGCCAUCUACCGUGACCGGUUGAGUCGAGGAGCGUAUUAGGUCACAUUUCACUGUGUGUUAUACUCGUAUAACUAUUCACGUGACAAAUAAAAGAUCUUGAAUCUUGAAAAAUAAAUAUGACUGAAUAUUACACAAGCAC